rnacentral:rRNA from 1 species
AGAGUUUGAUCCUGGCUCGGAAUGAACGCUGGCGGCAUGGAUUAGGCAUGCAAGUCGAACGGAGACCCUGGCUUCGGCCGGGCGAUCAGUGGCGAAAGGGUGAUUAACACGUGAGUAACCUACCCCCGAAUCUGGGAUAGCCCCGGGAAACUGGGAUUAAUACCGGAUGCGGUCCUCCAACGCCUGUUGGAGUGACUAAAGAUUUUUCGUUUGGGGAUGGGCUCGCGCCCGAUUAGCUUGUUGGUGAGGUAACGGCUCACCAAGGCUGUGACAGGUAGCUGGUCUGAGAGGAUGGUCAGCCACACUGGGACUGAGACACUGCCCAGACUCCUACGGGAGGCUGCAGUCGAGAAUCAUCCGCAAUGGGCGAAAGCCUGACGGUGCAAUGCCGCGUGAGGGAUGAAGGCCUUCGGGUCGUAAACCUCUGUCAGGGGGGACGAAGAAGUGACGGUACCCUCAGAGGAAGCCACGGCUAACUACGUGCCAGCAGCCGCGGUAAUACGUAGGUGGCGAGCGUUAUUCGGAUUUACUGGGCGUAAAGGGUCCGCAGGGGGCUUGCCAAGUCUGGUGUGAAAUCCCGCAGCUCAACUGCGGAACUGCACUGGAUACUGGUGAGCUAGAGUCUGCGAGGGGUGAGCGGAAUUCCUGGUGUAGCGGUGGAAUGCGUAGAUAUCAGGAAGAACACCGAUGGCGAAGGCGGCUCACUGGCGCAGUACUGACCCUCAUGGACGAAAGCGUGGGUAGCGAACAGGAUUAGAUACCCUGGUAGUCCACGCUGUAAACGUUGUGCACUAGAUGUAGGCGGAUUCAAUCCCGUCUGUGUCCAAGCUAACGCGAUAAGUGCACCGCCUGGGGACUACGGCCGCAAGGCUAAAACUCAAAGGAAUUGACGGGGGCCCGCACAAGCGGUGGAGCAUGUGGCUCAAUUCGAUGCAACGCGAAGAACCUUACCUGGGUUUGACAUAUUCCGGACCGCCUUGGAAACAAGGCUUCCCUUCGGGGCCGGUUUACAGAUGCUGCAUGGCUGUCGUCAGCUCGUGUCGUGAGAUGUUCGGUUAAGUCCGGCAACGAGCGCAACCCGUGUUGUCAGUUGCGACCACGUAAUGGUGAGCACUCUGGCGAGACUGCCCGUGUCAAGCGGGAGGAAGGCGCGGAUGACGUCAAGUCCGUAUGGCUCUUACAUCCAGGGCUGCACACGUGCUACAAUGGGCGGUACAAUGAGAUGCGAUGCCGCGAGGUGGAGCAAAUCUUAAAAGCCGUCCCCAGUUCGGAUUGGAGUCUGCAACUCGACUCCAUGAAGUCGGAAUCGCUAGUAAAGGGACAUCAGCUACGGUCCCUUGAAUACGUUCCCGGGCCUUGUACACACCGCCCGUCACAUCAUGGAAGCCGGCUGCACCCGAAGUCGUUGACCCAACUCUUCGGAGAGGGAGACGCCGAAGGUGUGUCCGGUAACUGGGAUGAAGUCGAAACAAGGUA